rnacentral:SRP_RNA from 1 species
GCCAGGUGUGGUGGUGUGUGCCUGUAGUCCCAGCUACUUGGGAGGCUGAGGUGGGAGGAUUGCUUGAGCCCAGGAGUUUGAGGCUGCAGUGAGCUAUGAUCGUGCCACUGCACUCCAACCUGGGUGACAGAGCGAGACCUUGUUUCAA